rnacentral:tRNA from 1 species
UGGCGCGUAGCUCAACGGUGAGAGCGGCGUCCUUAUAAGACGCAGGUCGCGGGUUCAACUCCCGCCGCGCCGA